AACAUUUUGGAUGACAUGGUGGUGAGUGAAUUAUCUGGAUUUUUCUUUUAAGAAAAUGGAAUAUUCCUUUAAGGCAUGUUUUUUGAAACUGGUUAUAUUUCUUAAUUAAACUAAGGCCUAGUCCUGUUUUAAGAUAAUCCCUUUCCAGGAAACACCCAAAUGUCUGCUUGUUGCAUUUUCUUUCUGACAAUUUUUACAUUUAAAUUUAAUACAAUAAAAUCUUUCUUUAGGAGCUGAAGUAUUUUAUGUAAGGAGGAUUUUGCAGCCCAUAUAGAUUUCCUUAGGCUGAACCAAAACCUGCCAGACUAAAGUUGAUUUGGGAGAGAAAGACGUUGUAAACUCAAUCAUCUUGACAUUCUUCAAUGAGUAAUUGUUCAAUUUUUAGGCAAAUACUGUACACUUUGAAUGCUGUGAAUAAAACUAUAUUUUAAAUAUAUUUAAAAUGAA